rnacentral:lncRNA from 1 species
GAAGCCACCGCUGGGGCGGGGCAGAAGCUGGAGGGCGGAGGUUGACGCGGAGUCGCUGCUGGUUCGAAUGUACAGAAAAGCCUGCGCCAGUUUGAGUUCGGUGGGAACGCCGGUGCUAUGGAUCCUCGGUACCGCCCUGUCCCACUGUUGUUGCGCCUUUAUUCCCUGGUUUCUUCAACAAACAUUUAUCGAGCGGUUGCGGUGAUAGUCCUUGGAGAGUGCUUUGCUGCGUGCUGGGGAACUCCAGAGUUGAUUAUCCUGGUCCAGCCGGAGUUUACAUCGUUGGGGAUGGCUGACCUACAGAAAACAGCUGUUUAAUCAUCUCCUCCAAUCGAAAUCAGUGUCCUUUUCACCAAAUAAAAUAAUCUCCCUGCUCUCGUGAAGGGAGGCCGCACUCAGGAGCCAGAGGCGUUUAUUUGCCUAGUAGGAAGAAUGUGCCAAAACGGCCCCACCGGGGGCAUAGGAAGUUGAGUGGGAGCUGCAGCUGCCAGCCUAUACCACAGCCACAGCAAGGCCAGAUCCAAGCCAUGUCUGCCAUCUACACCACAGCUCAUGGCAACAAUGCUGGAUCCUUAACCCACUGAAAGAGGCCAGGGGUCAAACCAGAGUCCUCAUGGACACUAGUUGGAUUUGUUACCACUGAGCCACAGUGGAACUCCCUCUUCUCCCUGAUUUUUAGCUUGCAGACCUUGAAACCUGCAUUUUCCUCUUAGAGUAGCUGCCUCCUCCUGGGCUUAUAUCCUUCCUACUCAUGCUAAUGCCUUGCUUGGACACUCAGCAUGUUCAACAUCUUUGCUUCUUACCCACCACUGUAUCCACUGUUCAAAUUAACAACCCUGGAUCCAUCCUGUGGUAUAUUUUCUUGGAUGUUGUGACUGGCUUGAAACAGGUACAAUAUAUAUUCAAUGAACACUAAGGAGGCUGUUCUGUUGGAGAAUAGCACAGAUUGAUAUGUAAUAACAGCACAGAUUGAUGCUGUAAUAAAUUCUUGGUUUUAGUAUCAGUUUGGGUUCUCAGCUUCUUUCACCUCCCUUCUUCCAGUUAGGAACUCUGGAUCUAUGAACUGACAGGAAAGUUACAAUGCUGGAUCCUUUAACUGCUAGGCCACCAGGGAACUCCUAGACUUUCUCUGAUUUUUUUUUUUUUUUUUUGUCUUUUUAGGGCCACUCCCUCAGCAUAUGGAAGUUCUCGAGCUACGGGUCCAAUCAGAGCCAGAGCUGCCAGCGUACGCCACAGCCAUAGCAAUACCAGACCCAAGCUACAUCUGACCUACACCACAGCUCACAGCAACGCUGGAUCCUUAAACCACUGAGCGAGGCCAGGGAUCAAACUUGCAUCCUCACAGAUACUAGUCAGGUUCAUUUCCACAGAGCCACAGUGGGAACUCUCUCCAAUUUUUUAGAUAAAGCCAUACCUUGGUGGAGGCUGUCCAUCUAUUUUAUUCUUGGGAACUUUAUGAUCAACUAGAAACUGCCAGAGACCCUGAGAGGCUAAAUGCUCCAAUGGCCAUUCUGCCCUGUGCUUUAUUAUGUUAAUUGUGCCCACUUUGUCCCUGCUGGUCCUUGCUGGUCAGGUGCCACCACCUGACCUCUACCACACAGGGGACCCAUUAUUCCCACUGAAAUCAGGAUACCCAAUUCAAUGGCAGUAUCUCCCAGUAACAUCUCUGGCCUACAGAGGACAGUCAGAUGAUUUUUAUGGAUGCUGGUGCUCCCUUCACUAAAGCAUUCCUGGGCCUCCUGGGUUGUACAGUAGGGGUUGGCUGGGCUGGGUGCACAUAGUGAAUUAACACCAACAUUCCCAUCUCACUAAGCCAUCAAACUCCUCUAACAUAUGCUAGGAAAAUUUCAGCAUCUCAACCUGGGCCGUCUAGGAACCAGGUUUCAAUCAGCUGUACAAGCAAACCCUUAGCACCAUUUGGUACCCUAACAGCCAUUUCAGGACCAAAGCAAAAGAGAGAGCUGCAGCUAUGGUAACAGAUCCAAUUGCAUCCAAAAUGUCUGUGAUGAAUAGGGAUAUUGUAUGCAGCCCCUGACAACGCCUAUUGGAGCAAGACAUAUCCAUUUGACAGGCAGUUCCUUGGCUGCUACUGGAUAUGUUGAAUCUAGAAUUCUUGGCAAGUGCACUCAUAUUGAUCAGUUUCGUCCUCUCUAAUUUUAUAAUCCAUCCUAUUUGGUCAAUGCCUUUAUUGUCCAUUCCAAGGAUCUUGUGGCUGUGAGUUGGUAGAAUCCUGCAACUCCUUUGGAAUAUACUUUUUCUCUUCCUGAAUUAGGUUUUGUGAUUCACUCUUUAGGUUGUAUAGGAAUUUCUUUUCCUAAAAAAAAAAAAAAAAGUUUUACUUGGAAAUAAUUUCAAACUCACAGAAACAUUACAGGAAUAAAAAUAGGAUAAAAAUUAUCCAUACACCUGUUAGGGGUUGAAUUGUAUCCCCAAAAUAGAUAUGUUGAAAUCAUAACCUUGAUACCAUGGAGUGGAACCUUAUUUCGAAAUAGGGUCUUUACAGAGAUGAUCAGGUUUUUCGCUUAAGGUCUUUAGCUUAGGCCCUAAUCCAAUAUGACUGGUGUCCUUAAUGCAAAGGGGAAAUGUGAGCACAGAGAAACACGCAGGGAAAAUGGCACAGGAACAUGAAAAUGGAGAUGAGUGAUGUGUCUACGUCUAAAAGCCAAGGAACGAAAGGUUUACAGCAAAGCGCCAGCAGCUUUUGCAGGAGAGAGCCCUGGAACAAUUUUCCCAUCACAGCCUCAGGAGGAACCUUGAUCUUGGACUUCCAGCCUCCAGGGCUGGGAGACAGUACAUUUCUGAGGUUUAAGCCAUGCCAAGUGUGUAGUACUUUGUUGGCAGCCUUGGCAAGCUAAUGCAUACUGCUUACCCACGUUCGUUAACUGUUAACAUUUUGUAUCACUUGCGUGGAUUUUCUCUCAAUAAAUAUGUGCAUAAUAUAUAUUUUACUGAACAAUUUAUGAGUAAAUUGUAUAUGUUGUGACCCUUUAUUCCUAAAUAUUUCAGGGUAUGUUUUCUAAGAAUAAGGAUAUUCUCUUAUGUAGACACCACAGUGCAGUGAUCAACUUCAGUACAUUUAACCUUAAUAAAAUCGUUUCAUUUACUCU